ensembl:lncRNA
CCUGCUCCAGCGGCACGAUAUGAUCCACCGGCCAGGAGGGACACCAACAAGGCGUCCCAUAAGAUAAGUCUUAUAAAAUAUAUAGAUUUAUGAUAAUUAAGACUGAGCUAACAGAUGAGGAAUCCUAGUCAUUGGUCAAGCAGUUUUGAACCUAAUACAAGUUUCUGUGUAUUCAUUUGGGCCUAACUCGGGCAGGCGGCUGGCAUAAAGCUCACACGUGGCGGUGGGGCUCAGGCAGCUUUUGGCGGAAAGAUUUAUCGUAACACAUAUGGACCCCUUCCUCUCACUUCAACUGGUACCAAGUUUAAAAACAGUCAGAGCCUAAAACGAUAUAAAUAUGUGGGGGGAGGGGUCAUAAUAGAUGGCCUGGUUCUCUCUAUCCCUGUGUGUCUGUUUGUCUGUCUCUUGUCUCUCUGUGUCUCUGUCUCUGUCUCUCUCUGUAUUUCUCUCUCUCUCUGUCUCUCUCUCUCAGGAAUAAGUGCCAGGUUCCCAUCAACACCAGGAUCCACACAAAUUCAAAUCCUUCAUAUAAAACAAAACAAAAAAAUGUCUAUAACCCCAUACAGCUGCCUGUAUGCAAAUUCUAAUUGGUCUUAAUAAUAAAAACCCUGAGUCAGAUAUAGGGGUAAAUGCUGAAAUAACAGAGAAGCAGAGCAACCAGCCACUAGUUCUUACCUCUACUGAAUCCUCAGACCAAAAGGGCGAUCCUGUCUCUAGAAACCCUCAGACUGAAUGCAUUAGCUCCUAUCUCCUCCUGCCUUAUAUUCCACUCUCUGCCCAACCAUAUCACUCCUGUCUCCAUCUCCCAAGUACUGGGAUUAAAGGUAUGAGCCACCAUCAUCUGGCUCUGUUUUUCUUUUAGACUGGAUCAAUUUUGUGUGGCCCAGGGCCUUGAGCUCACAGAGGUCCAUCUGCCUCUGUCUCUAGAGUGCUGGGAUUAAAGGUAUGUACUACCACUGCCUGGCUUCUAUGGCUAAGUAAUGUGGCUAGCUCCUCCCUCUGAUCUCCAGACAAGCUUAAUUUGUUAGAGCACAAAAAAAAAAUAUCACCACAUCUGCCUGUAACUGUCAUCUCUAGAUCAUAUGCAGUGUCUAAUACAAUGCAAAUACUAUGUAAAUACAAUAAAUAGUUGUUCUAGUGUAUUAUUUUCAGUGUGAUGGCAAGCAGGGGAUGGAGGUGGAGGAGGAGUCUUUAGCCUAUACAUGCUUAGAGCAGGCAAUUCCUUUUUCCAUUUAUUUUCAGACUUUGGUUGGCUGAAUCCAAGGAUACAGAACUCGUAGAUAAAGAACCAUCUGGAAACUGAAGUGACCUCCUCCAUGUCGUCUUUUUUUCUGUUAUGCACUGGAAUGUGACCACCCUGUGAGGGUUAUGUUGGACCAGCAUCUACGGAAGGUGUUAAUGAUGCCACUUUGUCUUCAACUAACUAGAGAAAAGAAAGCACAACAGUUUAAAAAGGAGUUAAUCUUUCUGCCAAAUUCCCUGCUAGACAAUAAGAAAGGCAGGAAUCCUACUUAGCUUACUCAAUAAUAUUUGACGAAGUGUGUGGCUGGCACCGGCACGGUGUUCUGUGACGAAGGACUGGGGGCUGCCAGCCUCUCUGAAGGAUCCAGUGAAUAACCGAUGAAGGCCCCCUGCUUUCACAGAAAUGCCUUUCUUUGCCAACGCCUCCGAAGUCUCCAAAACCUAACCCUUCCUUUUUACAAACAGCUUUUAGAAAGUCGCCUUCUCCCAUCCCCCACAGUUUGAUCGAUAAAAGGAAAAAUAUGAUCUUAAGGCUUCUGUUUCUUGGAUCAGACUGAAGAGAGGACACUUACUCUCUAGCACAGAGGCUUCGCUUUGGGCCAGAAGAAUGGUCCCCAUCACCUGCACACUAACGCAUCACACCAGCAGGUGGCAGCCUGUGUUCCCUCC